ensembl:snRNA U6 U6 spliceosomal RNA
GUGCCUUGGCAGCACAGAUACUAAAACUGGAAUGACACAGAGGGGAUUAGCGUGGUCCCUGCACGAGGAUGACACACAAAUUUGUGAAGUGUCCCAUUAAAAA